AAAUUGAAGAGUUUGAUCAUGGCUCAGAUUGAACGCUGGCGGCAGGCCUAACACAUGCAAGUCGAACGGUAACAGGAAGCAGCUUGCUGCUUCGCUGACGAGUGGCGGACGGGUGAGUAAUGUCUGGGAAACUGCCUGAUGGAGGGGGAUAACUACUGGAAACGGUAGCUAAUACCGCAUAACGUCGCAAGACCAAAGAGGGGGACCUUCGGGCCUCUUGCCAUCG
rnacentral:rRNA from 3 species